rnacentral:rRNA from 1 species
ACAGCAGUAGCCACGGUAAUACGAAGGGGGCUAGCGUUGUUCGGAUUUACUGGGCGUAAAGCGCACGUAGGCGGAUUCUUAAGUCAGAGGUGAAAUCCCAAGGCUCAACCUUGGAACUGCCUUUGAUACUGGGGGUCUUGAGUCCGGGAGAGGUGAGUGGAAUUGCGAGUGUAGAGGUGAAAUUCGUAGAUAUUCGCAAGAACACCAGUGGCGAAGGCGGCUCACUGGCCCGGUACUGACGCUGAGGUGCGAAAGCGUGGGGAGCAAACAGGAUUAGAUACACCAGUAGUCCCUGUCUCUUAUAC